UACGUAGGGGGGCGAGCGUUGUCCGGAUUUAUUGGGCGUAAAAGAGCUCGUAGGCGGUUGGGGUAAGUCGGGGUGUGAAAAACUCAGGGCUCAACUCUGAGACGCCACUCGAUACUGCUCUGACUCGAGUCCGGUAGGGGGAGCGUGGAAAUUCCCGGUGUAGCGGUGAAAAUGCGCAGAUAUCGGGGAAGGAACACCAGUGGCGAAAGGCGGGCGCUCUGGGCCGGGAACUGACGCUGAGGGAGCGAAAGGUCAGGGGGAGCAAAACGGGG
rnacentral:rRNA from 1 species